rnacentral:misc_RNA from 1 species
CAAAGCUCAGCCAUUCCUUUUAUAAUCAUCUAGCAAGUCUUUAUACACACACACACACACAUAUAGGAUCAGAAUACCAUCAUUCAAUUUCCAAGAUGAAGAGAAACUUAUCACUGGCUUAAUAUAGCUAGAAUUUCAGACCUGAGUUCUUGAAAGAAACAAAUAUGGCGUUCAUCAGUUGCUAAGUAAGAAAAAGAAAAGGAGGAGAGUAUGGCAUUCAUUAAUAGUCAACUACACUCUAUGGAGUAGCCAGAACCAAUCAAAGCCUAUCACCCAUGUUAUCCAACAUAAACAAUCUGCGAUGUGAACUGUGCAUGGUGGCUGCAUCCACACAUGACAGGCCAUCAUCCAAGAAUAGCACAUUUCUUCGUGAAUUUCUUUGCACCUCACCAAUUCCUUUGAUCAUCAACUGCAAAAGAAACCGCAUUAAUGCAGAGGAAUGCCACCGCCUGAAUAUUCAACCUCCUGAAAAUUAAACAAUGAAAUAAUUCACAGUUAGACAACAAUAUCAUUGUUUCUGCGUGAUUGCUAUCCUAUUCAGGAAGAUAUACUUCCUAAACUUUAACCUGGAAUUCCAAAAUGGAAGGAAGAAAUAUGCACGCUUUCUAAGGAAGAAAAAUGACUAUGAAAGAAACGUUAAUUGAUUAUCAUUCUAUUAAAUAUCUGAAAUGGUGCUAGAUCAUCAGAAAAGCUUGGUCAGCCUUUAUGCAUAGGAAAAUAAAGAAUUGCAGGAUACACUUCGUUGGCAAAGUACUACAAAUCUCAGCCAAAUGUUUUAUCCAUUAAAACCUCUUACGCCAACAAGAUAUAUACCAUGGUCAUGAAACAUAUAUAAAGUGCAAACUAAUUUCAACACAGAUAAAAGAGGAUAAACUGUAAGAUAUUUGCAUUUUCUAUUAAAAAAAAUGCUUCUUUCCAAUUUGAACUUCUUAAGAACAUAAAACAAACCUGAGCAGGAGGCAAAGAUGAGACCCAGUCAGAUGCAUGAGUUGGAAGAAGCCCCAAUGUGUUAAGCUUCCAAACACCCAGCGCCAAACCCCCCAAAUUAAGAGCAAUAAACAGCAACUUAGGCCCAAGAAGAUCUAUUUUACCGUCUUUGUAUGGCUCAAAAACCUUCCCAACCCCUUGCAGAGCACUUAUGGGCUGCCAAAGAGCUGAAAAUGUAAUACCAAUGCUAAAAAGAUGAACUGUAUUUCCAGCCAUCCACAUCAUGAAACCCAUCAUCAGCAAAUUCUUGAAUGGCGCUUGUGCCACUUCCCAAGCUUUCUGAGCUUUCCAAUUAGCUUCAGCAUCCUUUUUUUGCUUAGUUACAGUGGAAUCGUUCUGAUCUUGAGAAACGCGUGAGAAACCAGGAGGAUCGGGGAAGUCCCGAGAAGAAGGAGCCGCUGAAUUGUCAGUGAAAUCGACUGCCCAUCUACGGCCCGAACCCAUCACUGCUUUUCCUUUGUCCAUGUCUUGCGAUGUUAUUGGAACAAGAGGACUGACAGAUACUGUAUAAGUCUCCGGUUCUCUCUUCUUUGCACAGUUGUGUUUGGAGUUUACGAAGUGCUAGUAUAGCUCCGGCGGUACAAGAAGACGUCUGGCCAGGGAGAGAGGCGGCUUUCUCCUUUUCUUUUGUUUUUGUGUGCGUUUUGGUUGAGAC